GUUCUAUAAAAAACACUCAGCUCAGUAGAAGCAAAGCUACCUACUUAUCAGCAAGAAAGAAGUAAAAACCAGCCAAGACUUGCAGGUCAUUAAGGCCUACUAUUACCCUCAGAGGCCUGACACUAAUACUGCUCCGCUGAAUCUGAAGAAAUGGGUCAGGAAUCCUUUCCUGGUUUGUAUUCGGCUCAUUAUCAUGCAGAAGGAAAAAACAAGUGCAAAACAGGUAGACAUUGACAUGCAUAAUCUUUGAUGCAGUACUUCUGGGACAUCAGUACCAUAGGAUGCUUGGACAGAACACCUGAGAUCAUCCUCUAAGGAUACGCCUAGGCACGUCCCAUCACUGCAGUUCAGCACCGGGCACACCAGGGCAGAAAAGCAGUCCUUUCAACACUUUAUCACAGAAGGUGAUGAGGAGCACUCUUUGUCAGCGCUGACAGUAUCAUAAUAACCAAGAACACAUAGACAUUUGCUUACUGUAUUCCACUGCAUGUAUACGCAUAGCAGCCUACAAGACAAACUGGAACCUGUGCAAACUCCAGCAGGCACCUGUGGAUGUGAGGCUCGCAGUGCCUUUAGUCAUGAAGUACAGAAGUGCUCCCUUAAUGAGCAAGUAAAUAAACCCAGGGCCAGAGUAAAUUAACAGACUGUGUAAGAAACAGAUGGUGUACGGUGACUGAAAAAUUUCUAAAUG